ACGCUGGCGGCAGGCCUAACACAUGCAAGUCGAGCGGUAGAGAGAAGCUUGCUUCUCUUGAGAGCGGCGGACGGGUGAGUAAUGCCUAGGAAUCUGCCUGGUAGUGGGGGAUAACGUCCGGAAACGGACGCUAAUACCGCAUACGUCCUACGGGAGAAAGCAGGGGACCUUCGGGCCUUGCGCUAUCAGAUGAGCCUAGGUCGGAUUAGCUAGUUGGUGGGGUAAUGGCUCACCAAGGCGACGAUCCGUAACUGGUCUGAGAGGAUGAUCAGUCACACUGGAACUGAGACACGGUCCAGACUCCUACGGGAGGCAGCAGUGGGGAAUAUUGGACAAUGGGCGAAAGCCUGAUCCAGCCAUGCCGCGUGUGUGAAGAAGGUCUUCGGAUUGUAAAGCACUUUAAGUUGGGAGGAAGGGCAGUAAAUUAAUACUUUGCUGUUUUGACGUUACCGACAGAAUAAGCACCGGCUAACUCUGUGCCAGCAGCCGCGGUAAUACAGAGGGUGCAAGCGUUAAUCGGAAUUACUGGGCGUAAAGCGCGCGUUGGUGGUUCGUUAAGUUGGAUGUGAAAUCCCCGGGCUCAACCUGGGAACUGCAUUCAAAACUGACGAGCUAGAGUAUGGUAGAGGGUGGUGGAAUUUCCUGUGUAGCGGUGAAAUGCGUAGAUAUAGGAAGGAACACCAGUGGCGAAGGCGACCACCUGGACUGAUACUGACACUGAGGUGCGAAAGCGUGGGGAGCAAAC
rnacentral:rRNA from 1 species